AUUGAACGCUGGCGGCAUGCUUUACACAUGCAAGUCGAACGGUAGAGGGGGCAACCCCUUGAGAGUGGCGAACGGGUGAGUAAUGCAUCGGAACGUGCCCAGUCGUGGGGGAUAACCCGGGGAAACUCGGGCUACUACCGCAUACGACCAACGGGUGAACGGGGGCUUCGGCCCUCGUGGCGAGGUGAGCUCCUGUCCGAUUUGCUGGUUGGCGGGGUAAAGGCCCACCAAGGCGACGAUCGGUAGCUGGUCUGAGAGGAUGAUCAGCCACACUGGGGCUGAGAAACGGCGCAGACUCCUACGGGAGGCAGCAGUGGGGAAUAUUGGACAAUGGGCGAAAGCCUGAUCCAGCCAUGCCGCGUGUGUGAAGAAGGUCUUCGGAUUGUAAAGCACUUUAAGUUGGGAGGAAGGGCUGUAGGCUAAUAUCCUGCAGUUUUGACGUUACCGACAGAAUAAGCACCGGCUAACUUCGUGCCAGCAGCCGCCGCGG
rnacentral:rRNA from 1 species